rnacentral:rRNA from 1 species
AGUGAACGCUGGCGGUAGGCCUAACACAUGCAAGUCGAACGGCAGCACAGUAAGAGCUUGCGCUUACGGGUGGCGAGUGGCGGACGAGUGAGGAAUACAUCGGAAUCUACUUUUUCGUGGGGGAUAACGUAGGGAAACUUACGCUAAUACCGCAUACGACCUACGGGGGGAAUCAGGGGAUCUUCGGCCCUUGCGCGAUUCAAUGAGCCGAUGUCGGAUUAGCUAGUUGGCGGGGUAAAGGCCCACCAAGGCGACGAUCCGUAGCUGGUCUGAGAGGAUGAUCAGCCACACUGGAACUGAGACACGGUCCAGACUCCUACGGGAGGCAGCAGUGGGGAAUAUUGGACAAUGGGCGCAAGCCUGAUCCAGCCAUACCGCGUGGGUGAAGAAGGCCUUCGGGUUGUAAAGCCCUUUUGUUGGGAAAGAAAAGCAGCAGGUUAAUACCCCGCUGUUCUGACGGUACCCAAAGAAUAAGCACCGGCUAACUUCGUG